CCUUCCAUGAAGCCGGAAUUGCUAGUAAUGGCAGGUCAGCAUACUGCCGUGAAUACGUUCCCGGGCCUUGUACACACCGCCCGUCACACCAUGAGAGUUGGGAAUACCCGAAGCCUGUGAGCUAACUUAUAGAGGCAGCAGUCGAAGGUAGAAUCAAUGAUUGGGGUGAAGUCGUAACAAGGUACC
rnacentral:rRNA from 1 species